rnacentral:lncRNA from 1 species
UUGUGAUCGAGAAAAACAUUUAUAAAGAGAUCAGCGUUCGCAUGGAAAAACAAUUGCAAACUAACCGACCGUUCCUAAAGCAAGUGGCAAAAAACUUGGUGAUUAAUAUUUGAGAUUUCAAAUUCAAAUUCUAAUUGAUUCAUAUUUUUAAUUAAAUUUAUUUUUAAAUAAAAUAAACAAAACGAAUAAGAUGUUACCUAUAUCUCUAAAAGAAAAAAAAAUC